CCUACGGGAGGCAGCAGUGGGGAAUAUUGGACAAUGGGCGCAAGCCUGAUCCAGCAAUGCCGCGUGAGUGAUGAAGGCCUUAGGGUCGUAAAGCUCUUUUACCAGGGAUGAUAAUGACAGUACCUGGAGAAUAAGCUCCGGCUAACUCCGUGCCAGCAGCCGCGGUAAUACGGAGGGAGCUAGCGUUGUUCGGAAUUACUGGGCGUAAAGCGUACGUAGGCGGUUAUUCAAGUCAGAGGUGAAAGCCCGGGGCUCAACCCCGGAACGGCCUUUGAAACUAGGUAGCUAGAAUCUUGGAGAGGUCAGUGGAAUUCCGAGUGUAGAGGUGAAAUUCGUAGAUAUUCGGAAGAACACCAGUGGCGAAGGCGACUGACUGGACAAGUAUUGACGCUGAGGUACGAAAGCGUGGGGAGCAAACAGGAUUAGAUACCCUGGUAGUCCACGCCGUAAACGAUGAUAACUAGCUGUCCGGGCACUUGGUGCCUGGGUGGCGCAGCUAACGCAUUAAGUUAUCCGCCUGGGGAGUACGGUCGCAAGAUUAAAACUCAAAAGGAAUUGACGGCUGAGAGNGCGAGAGACACGAGGAGAG
rnacentral:rRNA from 1 species